UCUUCAUGAUGAUAUUUAUUGGUCCGUGUUGCUGAACGUCAGUGAUUUAACUCUCAACCACUUCUGAAUAU